rnacentral:rRNA from 1 species
UACGGAGGAUGCGAGCGUUAUCCGGAUUUAUUGGGUUUAAAGGGUGCGUAGGCGGAAUAUCAAGUCAGCGGUAAAAAUUCGGGGCUCAACCCCGUCGUGCCGUUGAAACUGAUGUUCUUGAGUGGGCGAGAAGUAUGCGGAAUGCGUGGUGUAACGGUGAAAUGCAUAGAUAUCACGCAGAACUCCGAUUGCGAAGGCAGCAUACCGGCGCCCAACUGACGCUGAAGCACGAAAGCGUGGGUAUCGAACAGG